rnacentral:rRNA from 1 species
GUGGGGAAUAUUGGGCAAUGGGCGCAAGCCUGACCCAGCGACGCCGCGUGGGUGAUGAAGGCCUUCGGGUUGUAAAACCCUUUCGUGCGGAAAGAACAGCCCUGUAGUUAAUAUCUGCAGGGUUUGACGGUACCGCAGGAAGAAGCACCGGCUAACUCCGUGCCAGCAGCCGCGGUAAUACGGAGGGUGCAAGCGUUGUUCGGAAUUAUUGGGCGUAAAGGGCGCGUAGGUGGUUGUGAUAGUCAGAUGUGAAAUCCUUUGGCUUAACUGAAGAACUGCAUCUGAAACUUCAUAACUCGAGUACAGGAGAGGGAAACGGAAUUCCCGGUGUAGAGGUGAAAUUCGUAGAUAUCGGGAGGAACACCAGUGGCGAAGGCGGUUUCCUGGCCUGAUACUGACACUGAGGCGCGAAAGCGUGGGGAGCAAACAGGAUUAGAAACCCGAGUAGUCC